rnacentral:rRNA from 1 species
AAGCUGGAUUCGCUAGUAAUCGCGCAUCAGCCAUGGCGCGGUGAAUACGUUCCCGGGCCUUGUACACACCGCCCGUCAAGCCAUGGGAGCCGGGGGUGCUUGAAGUGCGUCGCCGCAAGGCGCGCCCUAGAGCAAAACCGGUGACUGGGGCUAAGUCGUAACAAGGUACC